GAUGAACGCUGGCGGCGUGCCUAAUACAUGCAAGUCGAGCGAAUGGAUUAAGAGCUUGCUCUUAUGAAGUUAGCGGCGGACGGGUGAGUAACACGUGGGUAACCUGCCCAUAAGACUGGGAUAACUCCGGGAAACCGGGGCUAAUACCGGAUAACAUUUUGAACCGCAUGGUUCGAAAUUGAAAGGCGGGUUCGGAUGUCACUUAUGGAUGGACCAGCGUCGCAUUAGCUAGUUGGUGAGGUAACGGCUAACCAAGGCAACGAUGCGUAGCCGACCUGAGAGGGUGAUCGGCCACACUGGGACUGAGACACGGCCCAGACUCCUACGGGAGGCAGCAGUAGGGAAUCUUCCGCAAUGGACGAAAGUCUGACGGAGCAACGCCGCGUGAGUGAUGAAGGCUUUCGGGUCGUAAAACUCUGUUGUUAGGGAAGAACAAGUGCUAGUUGAAUAAGCUGGCACCUUGACGGUACCUAACCAGAAAGCCACGGCUAACUACGUGCCAGCAGCCGCCGUAA
rnacentral:rRNA from 1 species